UACGGAGGGUGCUAGCGUUGUUCGGAAUUACUGGGCGUAAAGCGCGCGUAGGCGGCUUUGUAAGUUAGAGGUGAAAGCCCGGGGCUCAACCCCGGAACUGCCUUUAAAACUGCAUCGCUUGAAUCCGGGAGAGGUGAGUGGAAUUCCGAGUGUAGAGGUGAAAUUCGUAGAUAUUCGGAAGAACACCAGUGGCGAAGGCGGCUCACUGGACCGGUAUUGACGCUGAGGUGCGAAAGCGUGGGGAGCAAACAGG
rnacentral:rRNA from 1 species